AUGGCAGCUGGGACCCUGUACACAUAUCCUGAAAACUGGAGGGCCUUCAGGGCCCUCAUUGCUGCUCAAUACAGCGGGGCUCAGGUUCAUGCGCUGUCCGCACCACUCCACUUCCACUUUGGCCAAACCAAUCGCACCCCUGAAUUUCUCUGCAAAUUUCCUGCUGACAAGUAUCCAGCAUUUGUGGGUGAUUGCGGGUUCUGUGUGUUUGAGCGCAAUGCCAUUACCUACUAUGGAGCAAUGAGUUGCUGCAGGGAAGUACACCCGAAGCAGUAGGUGGCGCAGUGGGUGAGCUUUGCUGAUAGCGGUAGAGCGCCCCCAGCCAGGACCUGGGUGUUCCCCAGCAUGGGCAUCAGGCACCACAACAAGCAGGCCACUCAGAAUGCAAAGGAGGAAGUGAGGCGAAUUCUGGGGCUGCUGGACGCUCACUUGAAGAUGAGGACUUUUCUGCUGGUUGAAUGAGUGACUGGCUGGCAUCACAGUCGUUUGCACCCUGUUGCGGCAGUAUAAGCAGGUCAUAGAACCUUCUUUCCACCAAGCCUUUCCCAAUUUUUUAUUUGUAUAUAUUACAUGUUAUAACCGCUGGUCCCUCACCUGCAUUAACCAGUCUAAGUUCCCGGCUGUCUUUGGGGACGUGAACCUGCGUGAGAAGAUGGCCCAGUUUGAUGCUAAAAAGUUUGCCGAGAGGCAACCUAAAAAGGACACCCCAUGGAAAGAGCAGGAUUCACAGAAGAGAAGCAGAGCCCCAGGCUGAGUGGAAGGAGAAGAAAAUGGCGGCUGCCACUGCUCCUGAGGAGGUGAUGGAUGAAUGUAAGCAGGUGCUGGCCACUGAGCCUAAGGCCAAGGACCCCUCCGCUUACCUGUCCAAGAGUACCUUUGUGUUGGAUGAAUAUUUAUUUAUUUAUUUAUUUAUUUAUUUAUUUAUUUAUUUUUUGAGGAGAGACUCCAACAAGGACACACUCCCUGUGGCACUGCCAUAUUUUUGGGAGCACUUUGAUGAGGAUGGCUAGUCCCUGUGAUACUCAAGAGUAUCGCUGGCCGGAUGAACUCACUCAGUCAGAUCUUCAUGAGCUGCAAUCUCAUCACUGGAAUGUUCCAGCGACUGGACAAGCUGAGGAAGAAUGCCUUCACCAGUUUCAUCCCCUUUGGAACCAACAAUAGCAGCUCCAUUUCUAGAGUCUGGGUCUUCCGAGGCCAGGAGCUUGCCUUUCCUCUGAGUGCAAAUUGGCAGGUGGACUAUGAAUCAUACACACGGAGGAAACUGGAUCCUGGCAGUGAGGAGACACUUGGAAUCCAAAUAUAUCCAUAGCGAAAGUUCGAGAGUACUUUUCCUGGGAGGGGGCCUUCCAGCAAGUUGGCCAAGACUUCAAUCAGGGCACGAUCUUCAAGUGA